rnacentral:rRNA from 1 species
AAUGAACGCUGGCGGCAGGCCUAACACAUGCAAGUCGAACGGAUCCUUCGGGAUUAGUGGCGGACGGGUGAGUAACGCGUGGGAACGUACCCUUUCUUCGGAAUAGCCUCGGGAAACUGGAGUAAUACCGGAUAAGCCCUAUUGGGGAAAGAUUUAUCGGGAAGGGAUCGGCCCGCGUUGGAUUAGGUAGUUGGUGGGUAAUGGCCUACCAAGCCGACGAUCCAUAGCUGGUUUGAGAGUAUGAUCAGCCACACUGGGACUGAGACACGGCCCAGACUCCUACGGGAGGCAGCAGUGGGGGAAUCUUAGACAAUGGGGGAAACCCUGAUCUAGCCAUGCCGCGUGAUCGAUGAAGGCCUUAGGGUUGUAAAGAUCUUUCAGUGGGAAGAUAAUGACGGUACCCACAGAAGAAGCCCGGCGUAACUCCGUGCCAGCAGCCG